UACGAAGGGGGCUUGCGUUGUUCGGAAUCACUGGGCGUAAAGCGCACGUAGGCGGAUUUGUUAGUCAGGGGUGAAAUCCCGGAGCUCAACUCCGGAACUGCCUUUGAUACUGCAAGUCUCGAGUCCGAUAGAGGUGGGUGGAAUUCCUAGUGUAGAGGUGAAAUUCGUAGAUAUUAGGAAGAACACCGGUGGCGAAGGCGGCCCACUGGAUCGGUACUGACGCUGAGGUGCGAAAGCGUGGGGAGCAAACAGG
rnacentral:rRNA from 1 species